rnacentral:tRNA from 1 species
GAUACCGCGCCGGGCAAGAACGGAUAACUCUGAUGAUGUUAAACACGAGAGCUAUCUCUCCGAUAUCG